GAAUUGUUCACAAUGGGCGCAAGCCUGAUGACGCAACGCCGCGUGGAGGAUGAAGGUCUUCGGAUUGUAAACUCCUGUUGCUCGGGACGAAUGGCUCCAACCUAAUACGUUGGAGUGUGACGGUACCGAGUGAGGAAGCCCCGGCUAACUCUGUGCCAGCAGCCGCGGUAAUACAGAGGGGGCAAGUGUUGUUCGGAAUUACUGGGCGUAAAGGGCGCGUAGGCGGCCCGCUAAGUCGAACGUGAAAUCCCCGAGCUCAACUCGGGAACUGCGUCCGAUACUGGCAGGCUUGAAUCCGGGAGAGGGAUGCGGAAUUCCAGGUGUAGCGGUGAAAUGCGUAGAUAUCUGGAGGAACACCGGUGGCGAAGGCGGCAUCCUGGACCGGCAUUGACGCUGAGGAGCGAAAGCCAGGGGCGCAAACGGG
rnacentral:rRNA from 1 species